UACAGAGGUCCCAAGCGUUGUUCGGAUUCACUGGGCGUAAAGGGUGCGUAGGAGGUCAUGUAAGUCGGAUGUGAAAUCCCGUCGCUUAACGAUGGAGCUGCAUUCGAUACUGUGUGACUAGAGGGCUGGAGAGGAGAACGGAAUUCCUGGUGUAACGGUGAAAUGCGUAGAUAUCAGGAGGAACACCGAUGGCGAAGGCAGUUCUCUGGAAAGUUCCUGACUCUGAUGCACGAAGGCCAGGGGAGCAAACGGG
rnacentral:rRNA from 1 species